UACGUAGGUGGCGAGCGUUGUCCGGAUUUACUGGGCGUAAAGGGAGCGUAGGCGGACUUUUAAGUGAGAUGUGAAAUACUCGGGCUCAACUUGAGUGCUGCAUUUCAAACUGGAAGUCUAGAGUGCAGGAGAGGAGAAUGGAGUUCCUAGUGUAGCGGUGAAAUGCGUAGAGAUUAGGAAGAACACCAGUGGCGAAGGCGAUUCUCUGGACUGUAACUGACGCUGAGGCUCGAAAGCGUGGGGAGCAAACAGG
rnacentral:rRNA from 1 species